AUGCAAUGUUCCCUUUUUUAAAAUUUUGUUUAUUCCCAUAAUUUUUUACUUCAGUAUAUAUUUCUACUUGGGCUGUGUCCUCUCAAGAUACAAAGAAGCACAAAGUCAUUUAUGGGUGCUGGGCCAGAAUUGGCUAACUGUUGGUCAUUCUGUUCACUUUGUCCAGUAGGUACAGCAAAAGUAUUAGAGUGAAGUUUUGGUAGGGGGUAAUGUAUUUUCCUAAUGUUAAUUGAUCGAUAACAAUAAUAGUAAUAAUAUCGUCUCAUGUGUCUGACUUAGUCAGCCUCCCUCCCUUGCUGUCUGCCUUCCUCUGGUGCCUGCCCAAAUAUCACAGGUGCUGGACCCUGUACUGGACCAGAUGCCUAUUUCCUAAUGAUUGUGCUCUUUUUUGUGAGGACAAUGAUCCCAAGUAAUUCUGCCUAUGGUAACGAUUAUUUUAAUAAUUGUACUAGUAAUAACCGUAAAUUAUUAUAACAAUACUCUAGCCACCAUGUCAUAGCAUGGGGUCUUAGCACCAAAUCCCCAAUUCUUCCUUAGCUUCCUUCAUUUCACAUUUGAUGUGUUAAACACCCUCUCCCCCCCACAAAAGGUAGGCUAUGCUUGUUUGUCUUCUGUAAAAAUUGCCUGUCUGCUUGAACACUAUAGAGCAAAUCAUGGAUCAUCCACCGCACCUCAGAUACUACAUGGGGUUUGGCCCAAAAAUUAACUGUUUUGAAUACAGCACUGUGAAUUCAGGCUUCAAGCAAAUUAUUUUGACUGCUGUUUGAAUUAUGGUGUCCCCAGGAGAGCUUCUCAGUUCCCCAAGUCAAGUCAUGGAUGGCUGCUUUAGGAAGCAGAUGGGUGCAGGUUGCAAAUGUCUUUGCAUGAAAAAAUUGCCAGCAAACCAUUCAAAAGCUGUAACUCAAUCACUGUUGUAGCCUGGCAGCUGACAGCACCCCAGGCAAAGGAGGAGUUUCAGUUCAAUUCCACAAGUUACCCUCAAGCACAUGAAAUUUUCAACCCUAUGCUCUGCACCCAAAACUGAGAUAUUUGGCCCCCACUCACAUUGCACCCCCUCCCAUAAUGGAAGAACCCUGAUCAUCCUGUGGAAAUUGCUCAUACAGGAUUUGUUAUUGCCUGCAUAUCUAAUGGAAAUGUGUGUCAAUCAUCCAUUCUAACACUUUUGCAGUUUCUCGCCUGCAGUGAUCACCCACCAUUUUCACCACUUGCCAGCACAAUAGUUGUGGGAGUAUGCUUCUGCAAGCCAGGGGCUAGACUAUUAAAAGUGAAGAACUGCCAUCAAUGUCUGGACAUUGCAUAAAUCACACUUGUAUUAUGCCUCUCUUCAUAAAAGGUUCACAGGUCUCCGGUCCUUGGACAUACCCCAGAACAGGUCCUAGCAGGCUAUACUGCAAACAUCACUGUCUCAUCUACUCUGCUAUACGUUUUGUUGGCAAUGGAGGGGAGCAAGAAAAGGCAAAAUUGGAAGACAUGCCAGAUGCUUUGCAAGGCCAGGGAUGAAACUGGACUUAUGCAGAAAUUGAGACAUUGGUUCAUAUUUGGGGUGAAAGGAAGGUGUUGAUACAACUGGAAAACUGAAGAAAUAAACCGGUGUAUGUGGCUAUUGCACAACUAUCAGAAGAAUGUGGCAUCUUUUGGGACUGGGAAUAGUAUUGCAGUAAGAUCAAGUCCUUAAAAUGUGCCUUCCAUCACAUAAAGGACAAUAAUUCUUGUUCGGGUGCCUCACAUAGAAUGAUUCCAUUUUAUGAUAACCUGUCUACCAUCCUUAAAAGAGGUGCUUCAGAGGCUUGUGUGAACGAGUUUGGGACAACAGGUUUGCUGCACGAGGAACCAAAAGCUCCCUGGCACCACACUACAUCAGCAGCCACUUUGCAAGCUUCAUGCAAUCAGCCUCCUCAGUCACAGACUCAGUCACAGACUGCAGCUGGGACUGCUCAAGGGACCUCUAUGGCACACAGCCAGAAAUGAGCUUGCCCUCUACUCUGGUUAAACCCACGCUUUUGGUACCAUACACCCAGAAUGAUCAGCAGCAGGGGACCAAAAGCAACUCUUCUGUUCAUGAUGAGGAUGAGGACUCUGAUUCAACCAAUAUUAUAUCGCAGGAGUCUUCACAUUACAAAUGAGGAUCACACCCCAAUGGCAGGAACGGAAUGAAAAUGAGAUCGUUGUCCAAUUCCAGGAGGCACUGAUCUUUACUGGUGGAUGAACAUGGUUGUUUCUUUCUUUCUUUCCUUCUUUCCUUUAUUCAUUUGUCACUUUCAUUGUUUGAAGUCUUCGUUUAUGGUUCUUAAAUUAUGUUAUUAAAUUUUUCGCUGUGUAUAAUACAGGUGUUUGUGUGUUUGCUUGAAAUAAAAAAUGUGAUAAGCAAAAGACAU